rnacentral:lncRNA from 1 species
CUUUGCGGGUGUUAGUGCUGCCUUGUAGCGGCAUUAGCCUGCUCUUUUUCGAAAUCUACAAGGGUGUCUUUAACGUGCAAGAGAUAUGGCUCUCUCUUAACACGGGUCAGCCAUUUAUCGUCCCUUUCCGACGGACUAUCAUCGUUUCCUCAAGACCAUACUCGCAAAUGGUGUCAAGGAGCGCCGAAAAUUCAGUCCCUGAAAUUUUCAUCCCAGACGGGAAUCGAACCAGGAACCUUUGUGUUAGUAGUCCAAUGCACUAACCACUAC